UCGAGUGGCGAACGGGUGAGUAACACGUGGGUGAUCUGCCCUGCACUUUGGGAUAAGCCUGGGAAACUGGGUCUAAUACCGAAUAUGAUCAUGCGCCUCCUGGUGUGUGGUGGAAAGCUUUUGCGGUGUGGGAUGGGCCCGCGGCCUAUCAGCUUGUUGGUGGGGUAAUGGCCUACCAAGGCGACGACGGGUAGCCGGCCUGAGAGGGUGACCGGCCACACUGGGACUGAGAUACGGCCCAGACUCCUACGGGAGGCAGCAGUGGGGAAUAUUGCACAAUGGGCGCAAGCCUGAUGCAGCGACGCCGCGUGAGGGAUGACGGCCUUCGGGUUGUAAACCUCUUUCAGCACAGACGAAGCGCGAGUGACGGUAUGUGCAGAAGAAGGACCGGCCAACUACGUGCCAGCAGCCGCGGUAAUACGUAGGGUCCGAGCGUUGUCCGGAAUUACUGGGCGUAAAGAGCUCGUAGGUGGUUUGUCGCGUUGUUCGUGAAAACUCACAGCUUAACUGUGGGCGUGCGGGCGAUACGGGCAGACUUGAGUACUGCAGGGGAGACUGGAAUUCCUGGUGUAGCGGUGGAAUGCGCAGAUAUCAGGAGGAACACCGGUGGCGAAGGCGGGUCUCUGGGCAGUAACUGACGCUGAGGAGCGAAAGCGUGGGGAGCGAACAGGAUUAGAUACCCUGGUAGUCCACGCCGUAAACGGUGGGUACUAGGUGUGGGUUUCCUUCCUUGGGAUCCGUGCCGUAGCUAACGCAUUAAGUACCCCGCCUGGGGAGUACGGCCGCAAGGCUAAAACUCAAAGAAAUUGACGGGGGCCCGCACAAGCGGCGGAGCAUGUGGAUUAAUUCGAUGCAACGCGAAGAACCUUACCUGGGUUUGACAUGCACAGGACGCCGGCAGAGAUGUCGGUUCCCUUGUGGCCUGUGUGC
rnacentral:rRNA from 1 species